AUGAGCGGCCAAGUUUACCCACCGCCGCCGGCGGCGAUGGCGCCGCAGCCGCAGCCUCACGGGCAGGUGGCGGCCAACAACUGGGCGGGCAACGACGCCAACACGCUGCUGGUGGUGGCGACGCUGAUCACCACGCUCACGUACCAGCUCGGGUGCAGCGUCCCCGGCGGGUACUGGCAGGACACGCUGCCGGCGGACGGCAAGCAGAAGCCGCACGAGGCCGGUGACCCCAUCAUGCGCGACAAGCACCCGCAAAGGUACUGGGUGUUCAUGGCGGCGAGCUGGAUGGGGUUCCUGGCGUCCAUGAUGAUGACGCUGAGCCUGCUGGUACGCCUGCCGGUGGACUCGCGGCAGGUCCGGUGGUCCUUCGCCGUCGCCUACUCUAGCCUGGUGCUCACCUUCAUCGUGUCGCAGGCCAAGACGCACAUCUCAAUCGACAUCGCCAUCUGGUUGGUCACCGUCGUUUUCCUGUGGCUCAUGAUCAGCGUCCGCCCUGAGCACCGGGCGCGUAUUCUCCGUUUCUUCUGCUGCAACCGCGAGAACUGA
rnacentral:rRNA from 1 species